CACAUUCUGAGAUUCUUCACAAUUCUGAUCGUGACCCCAGGACCUGAGUUGAUGAGCCCAAACGCAAUAGCCAACUUCUCGCUGUGCCGGUAAACUGCAUUCUCUUUAUCCUCCUCUGCUAUAUCAAGGAAAACCUCUGAAGUAUUAGGUGAGUACCCCGCAAUUUUCAAGUCACUUGUCAUUUUGUUUAACUUCCCAUAUAUUUCUUUUGUUUGAGGAUGUGACUGGUCACCAGCAACAAAUUCAUGGACAAUACCAUUCAUCUCAAUCAAGCUGCAACCUGGGGUUUUCUUGAUUCCUCUAUCCAUCAUCACUUGUCGCAAUUCACGCAAUUUAUCCCAUUUAUUGCAAGCUGCAUAUAUAUUACACUGCAGAACAUAAACAGCUCCAUUAUUGGGUUCUAACUCAAGAAUCUGCUCUAUGGCCCUUUCAGCCAUUUCUGCAUCUUUAUGAAUUCUACAGGCACCCAGAAGAGCUCCCCAGACAAUUGAAUUAGGUUUCAUUGGCAUGUUCUUAAUAAUUUCAUGAGCUUCUUUUAGAUGCCCAGCUUUGCCAAGAAGAUCAACCAUGCACCCAUAAUGU
rnacentral:lncRNA from 1 species